UACGGAGGGUGCGAGCGUUGUCCGGAAUCAUUGGGCGUAAAGCGCGUGUAGGCGGCUUGGUAAGUCCGCUCUGAAAGCCCGGGGCUCAACCCCGGGAGGCGGGUGGAUACUGUCAAGCUCGAGUCCGGAAGAGGCGAGUGGAAUUCCUGGUGUAGCGGUGAAAUGCGCAGAUAUCAGGAGUAACACCAAUGGCGAAGGCAGCUCGCUGGGACGUGACUGACGCUGAGACGCGAAAGCGUGGGGAGCAAACAGG
rnacentral:rRNA from 1 species